rnacentral:rRNA from 1 species
UACGUAGGUGGCAAGCGUUGUCCGGAUUUAUUGGGCGUAAAGAGCUCGUAGGCGGUUUCGUAAGUCGGAUGUGAAAACUCCAGGCUCAACUUGGAGACGCCAUUCGAUACUGCGAUGACUUGAGUCCGGUAGGGGAGUGUGGAAUUCCUGGUGUAGCGGUGAAAUGCGCAGAUAUCAGGAGGAACACCGGCGGCGAAGGCGGCACUCUGGGCCGGUACUGACGCUGAGGAGCGAAAGCGUGGGUAGCAAACAGG